UUGUUGUCUGUGCUGUGAGGAAGAAGGAGUCAGUACUAUGAGCAGCUGCCCAUAAGAAAUGACCAAUAAGAUAUGCUGUGACAUGACACAUGCAUUUUUGGCGUGUAUUGCAGUAGGAACAACUUUAUAUUUCCUGCAGAUUUGCAGCAUUCAGGAGUUGGGAGAGACACAGCUGGGACAUGUAACUACAUCUGACUGAAGGGAUCUCCCAGACUUUAUGGCAUCAUUUUCAGCAUAUAAAGCCUGGGGAAGAAGGAAGCAGGAAACAUUCAGAGUGGUGGCAUUUGUCUUCUCAAGUAACUGUCACACAUGACGGAGCCGAGCUCUGGAGAUGGCUGAACCCCGGCCUGCCAUGGGAGAUGGUGAAUUAAUUUCCUGUUUUACUUUGCAUGCAUGCACAACUUUUGCUUUUCCUAUUAAACUGUCUUUAUUUCAGCCCAUCAGCUUUUUCCCUUUUACCCUUCUGAUUUGCUCUCCAGUCCUGUUGGUGGAGGUGUGAGUGAGUAGCUCUAUGGUGCUCGGUUGCCAGCUGGGGUUAAACCACAACAGCAGGCUGUCUUCAAGUACCAUUGACGAAAAAAAGAUUUGUUGUAAGGAGGGAACAGGCCAAUUUACUGCCCUUCAAGUGCCCUGGCUGCUCUUCACAAAGAGGUGGGUAGUAAAAAGCAGCCAUCCCUUACAUUCCCCGGUUGCCCUGUUAACAAUACAUUUUUGUUAAGCAUGUAGUAGCAAUACAGCUGUGACCUGUGAUUCAUUAGUUUUGUAGUUGGAGAGAUAUAUAUGAAUCCUACUGCUUCAGUUAGUAUCAGCCAGAAACUGACCAUUAAUUUCAUCAAUCAAUGACUGAGCCUCAUGGACUGGUUACAAUUAGUGUUAACUAAAUGGUGUAUAACAGCAUGUAUAAGCCCUGGCAGAUGUUGUGAUUCUCACUGGGCUUUGCUUCUUUUUAAAGGACCUGCAUAUGUCUCAAAGAACUUUUUGAUAUAAAUGAGGGUGGAAAAAAAAAGAGAAAUGUGAAAGAAUAGAUAUCUCCAUAUUAAAGCAAAAGUUCAAGACCCAGAACCAGUAAAGAAUCUAUUCAGCUGCACCCUUCCCAAACCUUUGGUAGAAGUGUUAUAAAAAGAGAUUUCUAUAGAAUCAUAGAAUGGCCUGGGUUGGAAGGAAUCUUAAAGACCAUCUAGUUCCAGCUUCCCUGCCAUAGGCAGGGACACCUUCCACUAGACCAGUUGAUCAGAUUUCCAGCCUUGAACACAACUUUUGUGUGAAAUCUCUUCCAGUGCCUCACAGUAAUGAAUUUCUUCCUAACAGUCAAUCUAAACCUAGAUGAGAGGAGAAAACAGGUGACA